UCGGAAUUGCUAGUAAUCGCAGAUCAGCAUGCUGCGGUGAAUACGUUCCCGGGCCUUGUACACACCGCCCGUCACACCAUGGGAGUCGGUAACACCCGAAGCCUGUAGUCUAACCGCAAGGAGGACGCAGUCGAAGGUGGGAUUGAUGACUGGGGUGAAGUCGUAACAAGGUAAC
rnacentral:rRNA from 1 species